rnacentral:rRNA from 1 species
GAUGAACGCUAGCGAUAGGCUUAACACAUGCAAGUCGAGGGGCAGCAUGGUCUUAGCUUGCUAAGACUGAUGGCGACCGGCGCACGGGUGCGUAACGCGUAUGCAACUUGCCUCACAGAGGGGGAUAACCCGUCGAAAGACGGACUAAUACCGCGUACACUCCAUCUUGGGCAUCCAAGGUAGAGGAAAUGAAAUUCGCUGUGAGAUAGGCAUGCGUCCCAUUAGCUAGUUGGUGAGGUAACGGCUCACCAAGGCGACGAUGGGUAGGGGGACUGAGAGGUUGAACCCCCACACUGGUACUGAGACACGGACCAGACUCCUACGGGAGGCAGCAGUGAGGAAUAUUGGUCAAUGGGCGAGAGCCUGAACCAGCCAAGUCGCGUGAAGGAUGACUGUCUUAUGGAUUGUAAACUUCUUUUAUACGGGAAUAACAAGAGUCACGUGUGACUCCCUGCAUGUACCGUAUGAAUAAGCAUCGGCUAACUCCGUG